rnacentral:rRNA from 1 species
UACGUAGGGGGCGAGCGUUGUCCGGAUUUACUGGGCGUAAAGCGCGUGUAGGCGGUCCUUUAAGUCGGGUGUGAAAGCCCGGGGCUCAACCCCGGGAUGCCGCCCGAGACUGGGGGACUUGAGGUCGGAAGAGGGGAGUGGAAUUCCAGGUGUAGCGGUGAAAUGCGUAGAGAUCUGGAGGAACACCCGUGGCGAAGGCGGCUCCCUGGUCCGGUUCUGACGCUGAGACGCGAAAGCGCGGGGAGCGAACGGGAUUAGAUACCCCGGUAGUCCGCGCCGUAAACGAUGGUCACUAGGUGUGCGUGGUAUCGACCCCACGCGUGCCGGCGCUAACGCAUUAAGUGACCCGCCUGGGGAGUACGGCCGCAAGGUUGAA